UUCAUCUUGAUUUUGUUUGCUUCGUACAUGAAUGGAGUUUUGAUCGGUGAAGUGGUACCCAUUUCUGAUGAGUUUUUUUGUCCCUUUCGAUGGUAGUGGAAAUUUUUGUAAAGGAUAGUUAUGAGGAAAUGGUGAAGAUGGUAACAAAGUGAUCACAUAGCGGAGUGGAUAUCGCGUUAGACUCCGAAUCUAAAGAUAAUGGAUGAUCAAGAUUUAGGAUUCUUUGCUAACUUUCUUGGCAUCUUUAUUUUCGUAUUUGUUAUUGCUUAUCAUUAUGUAGUGGCUGAUCCCAAGUACUUGGGCAACUAACUGAUUCUGAUGAUCCCCGUAGUGAGUAGUAACUUUUAAUGAGCUCAAGAUGAAUUUCAUUUUUAUCGUUUAUUA